UACGAAGGGUGCAAGCGUUAAUCGGAAUUACUGGGCGUAAAGCGUGCGCAGGCGGUUUUGUAAGUCUGCUGUGAAAUCCCCGGGCUCAACCUGGGAAUGGCAGUGGAUACUGGGAGGCUAGAGUACGGCAGAGGGGGGUGGAAUUCCACGUGUAGCAGUGAAAUGCGUAGAUAUGCGGAGGAACACCGAUGGCGAAGGCAAUCCCCUGGGCCUGCACUGACGCUCAUGCACGAAAGCGUGGGGAGCAAACAGG
rnacentral:rRNA from 1 species